GCACUCCAGCUUGGGUGACAGAGCAAGACUCCUUCUCAAAGUAAAUAAAUAAAUAGGCUCAUUUAUUGUUUCAUAUUAAUUCAGGUAAUUUCUGUGAAGUUCACACCACAUAUUAGCUAAAACAUUCCGAAGGCUGUGAUGAGCGUGAGACCCCCAAGACUGGCCCUCGUCUCUAACCACAGGUGCUGUCAUUUCUCGGAUUUCCUUUGUCUGCUUAUUCAUAUCACACAUCAAAGACUCUUCCUCUUUAAGUCUACAUUUCCUUUUUUUGCAACACAGAAUAUAUUUAGAUAAUCUUUUCUAACUUAUUUUCCUAGUCUCUAGCAUAUGAGUUACUAUGCACUCACAUUUACACAAUUAAUUGAGGAUAAAAAUUCAUGACAAUUGGCCAGGCGUGGUGGCUCACGCCUGUAAUCCCAGCACUUUGGGAAGCCAAGGUGGGUGGAUCACGAGGUCAGGAGUUCGAGACCAGCCUGGCCAAGAUGGUAAAACCCCAUCUCUACUAAAAAUACAAAAAUUAGCCAGGCAUGGUGGCACGUGCCUAUAAUCCCAGCUACUUGGGAGGCUGAGGCAGGAGAAUUGCUUGAACCCGGGAGGCACAGGCUGCAGUGAGCCGAGAUCGCACCACUACAUGCACUCUAGCCUGGGCGACAGAGCAAGACUCUGUCUCAAAAAAAAAAAAAAAUUCAUGAGAAUCUUUAAUAAUUAGUUACAUACUAAACAUCCUUAAAAAUACUUAAGUAUUAAAAUAACAGAAGCAAAAAUCCGUAAGGCAAAUCAUUGAGUCAAUGAAAACUUGUAUUCAAACAAAUCACUUAAUAUACUAUAUUCAUUACUUCUGCUUUGCCUUACAAGCACUGUACACAGUCAUCACUAUGUUUGUAAUUACAUCACAAGCGACCCAUCGAACAGGCCAAUCCAGAUGACUGCUGUUACUCAUCUGGUUGGAGAGUUCUCUCUGGAGUCUCCUGCACCAAGUAAUGAAAGACUUCCUCCCGAAUAAACAAACAGAGGAGCCCGCAACUGAAUGGCUUCAGUUACACAACGAUAAUUGUUUUAGAAGAGUUAUCAAGAGCUCCAGCCUACUUCACAGGGUGAGGAACGAAUUCACCGAGGAUGCUAAUAAGCAGCACAGGAUUUGUACUGGGCACUCUCAAGAAACAGUUAAGAUACAACUUGACAUGAAACUGCUCAACCUGGGCAGCACCCUAAUUCAAGGCUAAUGGAAUAAGGUACAUUUUAAUGUAGAUUCAAUUCAAGGCACAUUUAACCUAGUAAAACCGGCAGAGGAGAUCUGGUGCUGUUUGUUUUGAUAUUCACAGCCAUUGAUACUCCCACUUCAGCUGAAGGACUAAAGAGGAAACCUGUUCUUAGACUGAGAACUGUAACAAAAGUGCGAACUUUCCCUUCAGGGAGUCCUCCCCAUCAGCUGAAUGACCUUUCUUUUCCAGGUACUUCCCACUAGCUGUCACCACGGAAGUCACCACCUGCCCCCCUUUCCCUUGCAAGGGUUACUAACAGUGAUCCCAUCUGGUCACCACAAAGUCAGUAGGAAACUCAGGCUGAAGACACACUGAAAACCUAGCACCACACAAGAGCUCAUCGCAGCAACCUUAGUUUUACUUCCUUCUGGAAAAAGAUGAACAGCACUUUCUUCUCCUUUCACUGACAUUCAGUUGAAAAGGAUCCCAGGUACACUCUAUGACUGGAGGUAGUGGCGCUUAUUGAAACUGGAACCUUCAUAGUGAUUAGUACGUUUGCUCAAACCUGUAAGACUGAAGUGUGAUAAGUGUCUUGGCUUGAGUACUAACCGGAAGGAAAACAUCUACCUGUUACAAAUGUAGGAGCCUGCUGCACCUGCAGCUGUUGCCUGAAUGUUUUGGGUGCUAUUCACAGCUCAGCGCAGCAUCCAUCAGGUGAAUGGGUACAACUGCAGAAGUGGCUCCAGGAACCAGGAACCGCCCUGCAUCUUACCUGCACCCUCGCCUGUCACUCAGGAGUCUCUCCAUGACUUUGCAACUGCCUUAUGGGGCUGAUCUGGUAUUAGAUAUCUGAUAUCAAUGGAUAUCAGAUCUCGGGUAGGGCUGAUCCCUUUUGAAAUUAAGGACACCUUAGGAAGAUUAAGGGAAAC
rnacentral:lncRNA from 1 species